GUAGGGAAUAUUGGGCAAUGGAUGCAAGUCUGACCCAGCCAUCCCGCGUGCCGGAAGAAGGCCCUCAGGGUUGUAAACGGCUUUUGACGGUGAAGAAUCGACAGGAUGCGUCCUGUUUUGACGGUAGCCGUUGAAUAAGCACCGGCUAACUCCGUGCCAGCAGCCGCGGUAAUACGGAGGGUGCGAGCGUUGUCCGGAUUUAUUGGGUUUAAAGGGUGCGGAGGCUGGAAGGUCAGUCAGCGGUGAAAAGCUGUCGCUUAACGAUAGUCUUGCCGCAGAUACUUCCUUUCUUGGAUGAGGAGGAGGCCACUGGAACGGAUGGUGUAGCGGUGAAAUGCAUAGAUAUCAUCCAGAACACCGAUUGCGAAGGCAGGUGGCUGUACCUUAAUCGACGCUGAUGCACGAAAGCAUGGGGAGCAAACAGGAUUAGAAACCCCUGUAGUCC
rnacentral:rRNA from 1 species